GGCUCCUCUUGUUGCGGAGCAUGGGCUCUAGGCGCAUGGGCUUCAGUAGUUGCAGCACGUGGGCUCAUUAGCUGUGGCUUGCAGCUCUGGAGCGCAGGAGUUGUGGCUCACGGGCUUAGUUGCUCCGCGGCAUGUGGGAUCCUCCCAGACCAGGGAUCGAACCGUGUUCCCUGAAUUGGCAG